GGGCGUGUAGCUCAGUUGGUAGAGCGUUCCAUUCGCAAGGCGACCCCAAUGGUCUCCUGAGGAUUUGGAAAGGUCUUUGGUUCGAUUCCUAACUCGUCCA
rfam:Trichosporon oleaginosus strain IBC0246 unplaced genomic scaffold CC85scaffold_96, whole genome shotgun sequence.